GACGAACGCUGGCGGCGUGCUUAACACAUGCAAGUCGAACGGAAAGGCCCUGCUUUCGUGGGGUGCUCGAGUGGCGAACGGGUGAGUAACAUGUGAGUAACCUGCCCUUGACUUUGGGAUAACUUCAGGAAACUGGGGCUAAUACCGGAUAGGAGCUCCUGCUGCAUGGUGGGGGUUGGAAAGUUUCGGCGGUUGGGGAUGGACUCGCGGCUUAUCAGCUUGUUGGUGGGGUAGUGGCUUACCAAGGCAUUGACGGGUAGCCGGCCUGAGAGGGUGACCGGCCACAUUGGGACUGAGAUACGGCGCAGACUGCUACGGGAGGCAGCAGUGGGGAAUAUUGCACAAUGGGCGGAAGCGUGAUGCAGCAACGCCGCGUGCGGGAUGACGGCCUUCGGGUUGUAAAGCGCUUUCGCCUGUGACGAAGCGUGAGUGACGGUAAUGGGUAAAGAAGCACCGGCUAACUACGUG
rnacentral:rRNA from 1 species